AGCAGCCGCGGUAAUUCCAGCUCCAAUAGCGUAUAUUAAAGUUGUUGCAGUUAAAAAGCUCGUAGUUGAAUUUCGGAAUCUGUCCGUUGGUCGGGCUUCACUGUCCGUACUGGCGUGAUGGAUUCUUACCUUCUGAAUAACCAGCAUGCCAUUCACUUGGUGCGUUGGGGAAGCAGGACUAUUACCUUGAAAAAAUUAGAGUGCUCAAAGCAGGCCAGUGUCUGAAUACAUGAGCAUGGAAUAAUAAAAUAGGACGGCAUGGUUCUAUUUUGUUGGUUUCUAGGAUCACCGUAAUGAUUAAUAGGGAUAGUUGGG
rnacentral:rRNA from 1 species